rnacentral:rRNA from 1 species
CGGGGUGAGUAACGCGUGGGUAACCUGCCUCAUACAGGGGGAUAACAGUUAGAAAUGGCUGCUAAUACCGCAUAAGACCACAGCACUGCAUGGUACAGUGGUAAAAACUCCGGUGGUAUGAGAUGGACCCGCGUCUGAUUAGGUAGUUGGUGAGGUAACGGCCCACCAAGCCGACGAUCAGUAGCCGACCUGAGAGGGUGACCGGCCACAUUGGGACUGAGACACGGCCCAG